CGGGACGGGUGAGUAACACGUGGGCAACCUGCCUUGUAGAGGGGAAUAGCCUUCCGAAAGGAAGAUUAAUACCGCAUAACAUUACAUUUUUCGCAUGAAGAAGUAAUUAAAGGAGCAAUCCGCUACAAGAUGGGCCCGCGGCGCAUUAGCUAGUUGGUGAGGUAACGGCUCACCAAGGCGACGAUGCGUAGCCGACCUGAGAGGGUGAUCGGCCACAUUGGGACUGAGACACGGCCCAGACUCCUACGGGAGGCAGCAUG
rnacentral:rRNA from 1 species